UGGUGACAUGCAUAAAAUUGUGGGGCUUAGUUUGGUGUUCCACUUUAUCUCAAUAUGCUUAAACAUGCAAUAGGAGAUUAAUUAUUUUGAGUUUGUUUACUUAUUUUUACAGCGAAUCAUCAAUUCAGCUUUUUUCCAUUAAUUCUUCUUUGUGUUGAUACAGUUGAUUCUGAAGAGACUGAAAGAGAAAAAAGUGAAAGGGAACAAAGUGAAUCAGAAGAAAGUGAGGAGAUUAAACAUUUUGAGUUUGUUACUUUUUUACAGCGAAUCGGCAAUUCAGCUUUUUUCCAUUAAUUCUUCUUUGUGUUGAUACAGUUGAUUCUGAAGAAACUGAAAGAGAAAAAAGUGAAACAGAAGAAAGUGAAAGAAGCAAACAGUUGUGUUUGAGGUGCCUCAAAAGAAUUAGGAGGUGAAGCAAGCGAUCUAGUGAAGAAGGAAUAAGUGAGUAUCCAUUUUCUCCAUCAUGACUUGCUCAACCUCGUUUCAUAAUUUUUUUUGUAAUUUCCAUAUAUAAUCUUUGUUUGAACUUUAGUUGAUAGGAUUAUUAUGUCUAGGAUUGAAGAAAAUGCAUGUUUGGAUACCAAUUUGUUUCACAAUUGAUAUGAUUCUGACAAAAAUUCAGAUAGCAUUGUUGAAUCCAAUCCCAGCAAAAAGGGAAGGAAAGAAUAAUAAGAAUAAAAACAAGCCAAAGAAAGGGAAAGAGGGUAAGACAAAUCGGUAGCCAGCUUUUUCCAUUUCCGCUUGGUCGAUGAUUUAGUAUUUGAACGCAUCUCGAAAUCAGUUGAGUGUCUCAACUGAUUGUCGAGUCGAGCUUGAGCUCAGCUUAUACUUCAAUCAAUUGGCUUACAAGGCUUAUUUUUAGCUAAGUUGAAUCCAAGCUUGAGCUUAGAUUGGCCUACUGGGGUAACUGUAAAGCUCCUAUUGAGCCAUUUUGAGUUUUGUUAAACAUUUUCUAAUAGAAUCAAAUAAAUUUCAAGAUGACAUGUGUCUAUUGUUCUGUUUUUAUGAUUUUUUUCUUCAAAAGCUAUUAAUUUUAUUUCAUUAUAUCCAACACUCCAGAGUCCAGCUUUAUUGCAGGUUGUUUAUUGUUUUAACUCCAUAGAUUAAUCAUUGGUUGCAGUGAGUAUGAUUCUAAAGCCAUGGCAAAGAUAAGGGAGCAUUUGAAGAGCAUGGAGGCGAGGCGGCUUCAACUAGAAGCGCUAACGAGCUUGCU
rnacentral:lncRNA from 1 species